AUGGGAGAGAAAAGCUUAGUAAAAGGUGGUGAGAGGCAUCUACCAUGGUCGCCGAGUGGCAUUAUUGGGGGUCUUUGUAGGUUAAAUUAUCCUGGACUAGUCACUUUGCCGAAUGGUAUCAUUGAGCCAGCUUGGUCAUGGGAUCACUACAAACUUGCACCGGAUUUCCUGGAUAUGCAUCAGAGGGUUUUUGAUAACAGAGCCAUGCGAGUGGUCAACGAUUUCUAG
rnacentral:rRNA from 1 species